UACGGGGGGGGCAAGCGUUGUUCGGAAUUACUGGGCGUAAAGGGCUCGUAGGCGGCCAACUAAGUCAGACGUGAAAUCCCUCGGCUUAACCGGGGAACUGCGUCUGAUACUGGAUGGCUUGAGGUUGGGAGAGGGAUGCGGAAUUCCAGGUGUAGCGGUGAAAUGCGUAGAUAUCUGGAGGAACACCGGCGGCGAAGGCGGCAUCCUGGACCAAUUCUGACGCUGAGGAGCGAAAGCCAGGGGAGCAAACGGG
rnacentral:rRNA from 1 species